GAGACUUACCACAGAGAUAUGUAGAAAUCAUUGCCAUGUUUACUAUCGACUCGUUUGCCUGUGGUAUUUCUCCGCUGGGUGACAGCUUGGUCAUUCUAACAUUU